UACGUAGGGAGCAAGCGUUGUCCGGAAUCAUUGGGCGUAAAGCGCGCGUAGGUGGCCUCAUAAGUCCGCUGUGAAAGUCAAAGGCUCAACCUUUGAAAGCCGGUGGAUACUGUGAGGCUAGAGUACGGAAGAGGCGAGUGGAAUUCCUGGUGUAGCGGUGGAAUGCGCAGAUAUCAGGAGGAACACCAAUAGCGAAGGCAGCUCGCUGGGACGUUACUGACGCUGAGGAGCGAAAGCGUGGGGAGCGAACAGG
rnacentral:rRNA from 1 species